UACUCCAAAUAUUAUUAUUAUAUUAUUACCAAUACUAUUGUGGCUCCUCACUGUGAGAGGAUUAUACUUCCCACAUCACUGAAGUUAGACUUGGGCUAUUUUAUGGAUGUAUCCUGUCUUCUUAGGCAGCCAUAAGGAACUACAGAAAAGAAAAGCUUCUCUUGCAGACAGAGUUGAUGAUGUGACAAAGCUGUGUUCAAGGAGAACUAAGUGGAAGACUGUUUAGGACUGCUGGGAAAGUCUCUGCUUUUCUUGAUAAAUGUGUUAUCCUUUCUAUAUCUCCCCUUUCAUUACCCUCUGGAAAGUAUAUUUGAUUGCUGGAACUGAUGCCAGACAUUUUGUGGCAAUAGGGGAAAAGGCCCUGACAAAUCACAAAAACUUGCCUUUCUGUUCUUGAGCUACCAAACCAAUACCAGCAGGUUCCUAUCUUCAGAU